AGCUUGAAGUUUUAUUUUAGGUAAAUUCUGCCCAGCGUAAAUAUUAGCGGCCGCAGUACCUUGACUGUGCUAAGGUAGCAUAAUCAAUUGGCUUUUAAUUGAAGUCUGGAAUGAACGGAUUAAUGAGGACUUGCUGUCUCUAAAUAAUUUAUUUGAAAUUAUUUAUUAAGUGAAAAUACUUAUAAUUAGAAAAAAGACGAGAAGACCCUUAGAAUUUUUAAUAAAAUAUAGAUUAAUAUUAUUUUUUUGUUGGGGCGACAAAGAAACAUUUAAACUUUCAUUAUUUCAUGACAUUAAGAUUUGAAAGAAUAAAUUACCUUAGGGAUAACAGCAUAAUUAAUAAAUUAGUUUGUGACCUCGAUGUUGGACUAGGAACUAGUUGACUAACAGUCAAAAUAGAUUGUUCUGUUCGAACAGAACAU
rnacentral:rRNA from 1 species